GGUUGAUAUUCCUGUACUACCGAUAACCGUUUGAGAGAAGGGAUGACACAGUAGGAUAAGCUAAGCACACUGUUGGUUAUGUGUGCCCAAGCAUUGAGGCAGUCAAAGUAGGCAAAUCCGCUUUGAUAAUGCUGGGAUGUGAUGGGGAGCGAAAUUUAGUAGCGAAGUAGCUGAUUUCACACUGUCAAGAAAAGUCUCUAUCGAGGUUAAAGGUACCCGUACCGCAAACCGACACAGGUGGGUGAGGAGAGUAUCCUAAGGCCAGCGAGAGAACUGUUGUUAAGGAACUCGGCAAAAUGACCCCGUAACUUAGGGAUAAGGGGUGCCACCAUCAGGUGGCCGCAGAGAAUAGGCCCAAGCGACUGUUUACCAAAAACAUAGGUUUCUGCUAAGUCGCAAGACGAUGUAUAGGAGCUGACGCCUGCCCGGUGCUGGAAGGUUAAGGGGAUCUGUUAGAGCAAUCGAAGCAGUGAACUUAAGCCCCAGUAAACGGCGGCCGUAACUAUAACGGUCCUAAGGUAGCGAAAUUCCUUGUCGGGUAAGUUCCGACCCGCACGAAAGGCGUAACGAUUUGGGCACUGUCUCAACAACAGACUCGGUGAAAUUGUAAUUCCGGUGAAGAUGCCGGAUACCUGCGACAGGACGGAAAGACCCCAUGGAGCUUUACUGUAGCUUGACAUUGGGUCUUGGUACUACAUGUACAGGAUAGGUGGGAGGCUUUGAAACCAGGACGCCAGUUUUGGCGGAGCCAUCCUUGGGAUACCACCCUUGUA
rnacentral:rRNA from 1 species